UUUGUUGUUGGCGCAGUUGUUUUUUUUAAUCAAUGUUAUGGAACACUGCUAUAGACAUACUGUAUGAAUAUAAAUGGUCGUUGCUGGUUUUUGUUGUUUCGUUUAUAUUUUUUUUCAACCAGACGCAGCAGUGUAAAUGGUGAUUUUUAUUUUCUUUAAAUAGUUUUCUGAGCAGGUAGACUGGAGUCUGCGUUUUCUAUUUCUAUUUCUUUACUUCAUUGUGACGGGGAGGAAA